CGGCGCGGUGCUAUAAAAGCUUCCUACCGGCUGCCGCGGGGCUUGCUGCGAACAUCCCUCCCCACAGAACUGCGUUUUCCAGCUACGAAUAACGCCUGGCGAGGGAGGGAAAGGGCACCCGGCCACUGCUGCGUUGCUGGAACUGAGACUGUUAACGAUAUUUUCAGCUCAGAGGGAAAAGAGGCACCCGCCCUGACCUUAGAUCUCGGAGAUCACUCGUUUAGCUGCACCUCUCUACCGUGUGGCUCUGGCGCUGUGUUGGACGGAAGAGGAUGCGGUGCUGUGUGC